CCCUUAGAUGUUCUGGGCCGCACGCGCGCUACACUGUUCGACGCAGCGAGUCUUAACCUUGACCGAAAGGUUUGGGUAAUCUUCAGCAAAGUCGAACGUGAUGGGGAUCGAUCAUUGCAAUUAUUGAUCGUGGACGAGGAAUUCCUAGUAAGUGCAAGUCAUCAGCUUGCGCUGAUUACGUCCCUGCCCUUUGUACACACCGCCCGUCGCUACUACCGAUUGAAUGGUUUAGUGAGAUCUCUGGAUUGACGCUGGCUAGGGGGCGACCCUUGGCCAGGCUGUCGAGAAACUGCUCAAACUUGAUCAUUUAGAGGAAGUAAAAGUCGUAACA
rnacentral:rRNA from 1 species